AUUGAACGCUGGCGGCAUGCCUUACACAUGCAAGUCGAACGGCAGCACGGACUUCGGUCUGGUGGCGAGUGGCGAACGGGUGAGUAAUGUAUCGGAACGUACCUUUCAGUGGGGGAUAACGUAGCGAAAGUUACGCUAAUACCGCAUAUUCUGUGAGCAGGAAAGCAGGGGAUCGAAAGACCUUGCGCUGAUUGAGCGGCCGAUAUCAGAUUAGCUAGUUGGUGGGGUAAAGGCCUACCAAGGCGACGAUCUGUAGCGGGUCUGAGAGGAUGAUCCGCCAAACUGGAAACGAGACAACGUCCAGGCCCCCAAGGGAGGGCGGAGUGGGGAAUUUUGGACAAUGGGGGGAAACCUGAACCAGCCCUGGCGGGGGGGGGAAGAAGGGCCUUGGGUUUGAAAGCCCUUUUAGGGGGGAAAAAAAGCAGAAAGGUAAAACCCCGGUGUGGUGACGGUAACCGGAGAAAAAGCCCCGGCUAACUUCGUG
rnacentral:rRNA from 1 species